UCUUUCGGAAUGACUCAGUCU
rnacentral:piRNA from 1 species